rnacentral:rRNA from 1 species
AUUGAACGCUGGCGGCAGGCCUAACACAUGCAAGUCGAACGAGUGGCGGACGGGUGAGUAAUGUCUGGGAAACUGCCUGAUGGAGGGGGAUAACUACUGGAAACGGUAGCUAAUACUGCAUCCCAUCAGAUGUGCCCAGAUGGGAUUAGCUAGUUGGUGGGUUAACGGCUCACCAAGGCGACGAUCCCUAGCUGGUCUGAGAGGAUGACCAGCCACAAUGGAACUGAGACACGGUCCAGACGCCGACGGGAGGCAGCAGUGGGGAAUAUUGAAAAAUGGGAGAAAGCCUGAUGCAGCCAUGCCGCGUGUAUGAAGAAGGCCUUCGGGUGGUAAGGUACUUUAAGCGGGGAGGCGUUACCCGCAGAAGAAGCGCCGGCUAACUCCGUGCGAGCAGCCGCGGUAAUUC